rnacentral:rRNA from 1 species
GGUUUAAUUCGAAGAUACACGAAGAACCUUACCUGGCCUUGACAUGGUAGGAACCCUUAAGAGAUUAGGGGUGCUAGCUUGCUAGAACCUACACACAGGUGCUGCACGGCUGUCGUCAGCUCGUGUCGUGAGAUGUUGGGUUAAGUCCCGCAACGAGCGCAACCCUCGUCCUUAGUUGCUAACAGUUCGGCUGAGCACUCUAGGGAGACUGCCUUCGCAAGGAGGAGGAAGGUGAGGACGACGUCAAGUCAUCAUGGCCCUUACGGCCAGAGCUACACACGUGCUACAAUGGGGCGUACAGAGAGCUGCGAUACCGCGAGGUGGAGCCAAUCUCUUAAAGCGUCUCUCAGUUCGGAUUGGGGUCUGCAACUCGACCCCAUGAAGUCGGAGUCGCUAGUAAUCGCAGAUCAGCAACGCUGCGGUGAAUACGUUCCCGGGCCUU